rnacentral:piRNA from 1 species
UGCAGAAGACCAAAAACAGGUGCCGCCAAC